GCUCUUGUAGCUCAGAUGGUAGAGCGCAUCCUUGGUAAGGAUGAGGUCGGCAGUUCGAUUCUGCCCAAGAGCACCA
rnacentral:tRNA from 2 species